CUGGGCGUGGAGCCCCGCGGGGUGAGUGCGGCACGGCCCCUCGACCCACGGGUGGACGCCAGCUCACGCACCGGCCCCCAGCGCUUUUCUCUCGCAGUCAAGAGCUUAUCUGCACCCCAUUGAAGCCCAGCGUACCCCGGGGGACGCUGCCAGCUCAAGGAAACCGGCCGCCGCCUUCAUUCCAGUCAGAAAAUGGCCUGCAGGGCCUGUGCGUCCUGCCAACCGCGUCCGGACUUUGGACUCUGGACAGGAAGGGGUCGCGGGUCAGCCGUGGUUUGGGCAAAGCUUAACCUCUCCCAAGCAAGAGAACAUCGAUCGGGUCUCCUCCGCCCAGAGGAGGCUUGCAGGGAUUUACUCGCUUCUACCUGUUACCUGGACACUUGCUAGGCAGAGCUGCCUUAAAUUCCACGAGUUCCUAGUUAGCCAAACGCUAAAGCAAACCCCUGUGGACCUUGGCUGAGCGACUGGUGUUCUCCCCUGAGAAGGGGAGCUAAAACUAGCACCUUGCUGUCUAAAUUUAGGACCCUAUUUUUAGGUCUGCUGAAUAAAGUAUGGAGUGCUGGAUUUGUUCCUGGGAGACUUUUAGCUGACAUAGGUGUAAAGGAUAACCCGGAAGGCUUCCUUGCCAGUAGUAAUAAUCCGCAACAAACUCGGCCUGCUACAAGUCCUCAGUGAAGCAACACAAAAAGGAGCAAAUACUUCUUCCUAAACAAAUCACCCAAGAGAACUCAAUAGUUGAACAAAAUCUUAAAUCCUUAGGAAAUUUCCCUAAUGUAAGCUGGCAGCAACAGAACAACUGUGCCAAAAAGAAUCAAAAAAUGGCCCAAGUUCACAACAGUUGAUUUUUAGGACCAAAAUGGGGCCUAGUUGUUUAAAACUCUAAAGUGCUCUCUUUUGCCACAUCAGCCUGCAGUUUCCAGGAACUAUCAGUAUCAAAACGUAGCAGAAAUUGCUUAAUAUUUCUUCAAUUUUAAGGUAAUAUCAACUCUCUAGAACCUUAGCAAAGAAAUAAAGUGAAGAGGAAGUCUCUGAAAGCAAAAUGAUAUAUAUUAUGAAGCCCAGUUUUCACAGACUCUUAUCACAGUCACCACCAUCUACCUGGUCACCCAAGCUAGAAACCUGAUCCAUUGCUGUUUGGAGAAUGAAUUGGAAGAGGACAACAGUAGAGGCAAGGAGACAAAUACUGCAGUAUUCUUAUCAAGAGAUUAUGAGGCCUUGGAUCAGGGCUAUGGGGAGAGUGAAAAUGAC